rnacentral:rRNA from 1 species
GCUUACGGCCAUACCACCCUGAGAACGCCCGAUCUCGUCUGAUCUCGGAAGCUAUGCAGGGUCGGGCCUGGUUAGUACUUGGAUGGGAGACCGCCUGUGAAUACCAGGUGCUGUAAGCU